rnacentral:rRNA from 1 species
AAAGCGUGCGCAGGCGGUAAUGUAAGACAGAUGUGAAAUCCCCGGGCUCAACCUGGGAACUGCAUUUGUGACUGCAUUGCUGGAGUGCGGCAGAGGGGGAUGGAAUUCCGCGUGUAGCAGUGAAAUGCGUAGAUAUGCGGAGGAACACCGAUGGCGAAGGCAAUCCCCUGGGCCUGCACUGACGCUCAUGCACGAAAGCGUGGGGAGCAAACAGGAUUAGAUACCCUGGU